CGUAGAGAAAUCGAGUCUUAAUAGGGCGUUUAGUUGCUGGGUAUAGACCCGAAACCAGGCGAUCUAUCCAUGAGCAGGUUGAAGGUUGGGUAACACUAACUGGAGGACCGAACCCACUGUCGUUGAAAAGCCAGGGGAUGACUUGUGGAUAGGGGUGAAAGGCUAAUCAAGCCUGGUGAUAGCUGGUUCUCCCCGAAAGCUAUUUAGGUAGCGCCUCGGACGAAUACCAUAGGGGGUAGAGCACUGUUUCGGCUAGGGGGUCAUCCCGACUUACCAAACCGAUGCAAACUCCGAAUACCUAUGAGUACUAUCCGGGAGACAGACUGCGGGUGCUAACGUCCGUAGUCAAGAGGAAAACAAUCCAGACCGCCAGCUAAGGCCCCAAAAUCAUAGUUAAGUGGGAAACGAUGUGGGAAGGCAUAGACAGCUAGGAGGUUGGCUUAGAAGCAGCCACCCUUUAAAGAAAGCGUAAUAGCUCACUAGUCGAGUCGGCCUGCGCGGAAGAUGUAACGGGGCUAAAACUAUGUGCCGAAGCUGCGGAUGUAUACUUUGUAUACGUGGUAGGGGAGCGUUCUGUAAGCCGAUGAAGGUGUGUUGAGAAGCA
rnacentral:rRNA from 1 species